AUGGAUGGAAAAGGGUGCAGGGACAGCAAGGAAUGCCGCAGGGCGGAAGCUGACGAGGUUGCGCUGCCUGCUUUAUGUACAGGGAUCAGGCAUUUCACGGCAGACACCUACCUGCAGGAGGCUGACUGGGGAUACCACGGGCACGAUUACGGCACGGGGACGCAUCCCCACCCUGUAAUAAAACGGGGAGGGGGGCAGCACCGCAGCCUGCCGGUUCUUGUGCUGCACGGAUCAUUUGUUGCUCCCUGCCCCUUCCUGGCACGGCCCCGCGGCACAGGGUACGGCACCACCGCCGAUCCCGCUGGCAGACGCUCCUGGAGCAACCCUGCGGGAAGGGGCUUCCCUCUGGAGCCACUCCGUCCUCCUCUAGCUGCCAGGGUCUGCUCUGCGCCCCGAGCACGGCCGGGAGAAGCCGCCAGCACCCGCGGCAAGCAGAGCGCGAGGACGGGGAGCCCCCGCCUGAGGGCACGGCUCUCUGCUGCCAAGCACUUCUUCCAAGCUCAGGAUCGGUGCACCCCUAAGAGCAGGAAAUCGGGGAAGGGGGGCAGGAGACCUGCGCGGAAGAACGAGGAGCUCACAGACAAGAUCAAAAGGAAGAGGAAGGUCAAUGAAAUGUGGAAAAAGGGCCUGUCCUCUUGGGAGGAGUAUAGGAAUGUUGUCAGGGCCUGCAGGGACGCAACGAGGAAGGCUAAAGCCCAGCUGGAGGUGAAGCUUGCAAAAGAGAUAAAGGAUAAUACGAAGAUUUUUUUUUAAGUAAGUAAACAGUGAAAGGAAGACUAGAGAUAAUGUGGGUCCCCUGCUGAACGAGGGGGGCGUCCAGGUAAUGGGGGAUGCUGAGAAGGUGGAGAUAUUGAAUGCCUUCUUUGCUUCGGUCUUUGCUUCGAAGACUGCCCCCCAGGACUCCUGGACCCUGGAGGGAGGAGAAAGAGGCUGGGAAAUGGAGAGCUCCCCUCUGUUUGAGGGAGUGGUUCAGAAGCAUCUGAGUGGGAUCAACGCACGCAAAUCCAUGGACCCCGAUAGGAUGCAUCCACGUGUGCUGAGGGAGCUGGCGGAGGUGAUCGCUGAACCGCUAUCAUCUUUGAGUGGUCUUGGAGAACAGGAGAGGUGCUGAAGCCUGGAGGAUAGCCAAUGUCACUCCGGUCUUCAGAAAGGGCAAGAAGGAGGAUCCGGGAAACUACAGGCCAGUCAGUCUCACCUCCGUCCCUGGAGAGGUGAUGGAACAGCUUGCUCUGGAUGCCAUCUCCAAGCAAUUGGAAGAGAAGAAGGUUAU
rnacentral:lncRNA from 1 species